GAUGAACGCUGGCGGCGUGCCUAACACAUGCAAGUCGAGCGAACGGACGAGAAGCUUGCUUCUCUGAUGUUAGCGGCGGACGGGUGAGUAACACGUGGAUAACAUACUUCUAAGACUGGGAUAAUUUCGGGAAACCGGAGCUACUACCGGAUGAUAUUUUGAACCGCUUGGUUCAAAAGUGUAAGACGGUUUUGCUGUCACUUAUAGAUGGAUCCGCGCUGCAUUAGCUAGUUGGUAAGGUAACGGCUUACCAAGGCAACGAUGCAUAGCCGACCUGAGAGGGUGAUCGGCCACACUGGAACUGAUACACGGUCCAGACUCCUACGGGAGGCAGCAGUAGGGAAUCUUCCGCAAUGGGCGAAAGCCUGAUGGAGCAACGCCGCGUGAGUGAUGAAGGUCUUCGGAUCGUAAAGCUCUGUUAUUAGGAAAGAACAUAUGUGUAAGUAACUGUGCACAUCUUGACGGUACCUAAUCAGAAAGCCACGGCUAACUACGUG
rnacentral:rRNA from 1 species